GAUGAACGCUGGCGGCGUGCCUAAUACAUGCAAGUCGAGCGAACAGACGAGGAGCUUGCUCCUUCGACGUUAGCGGCGGACGGGUGAGUAACACGUAGGUAACCUACCUAUAAGACUGGGAUAACUUCGGGAAACCGGAGCUAAUACCGGAUAAUAUUUCGAACCGCAUGGUUCGAUAGUGAAAGAUGGCUUUGCUAUCACUUAUCGAUGGACCUGCGCCGUAUUAGCUAGUUGGUAGGGUAACGGCUUACCAAGGCAACGAUACGUAGCCGACCUGAGAGAGUGAUCGGCCACACUGGAACUGAGACACGGUCCAGACUCCUAAGGGAGGCAGCAGUAGGGAAUCUUACGCAAUGGGCGAGAGCAUGACGGAGCAACGCCGCGUGAGUGAUGAAGGUCUUCGGAUCGUAAAACUCUGUUAUUAGGGAAGAACAAACGUGUAAGUAACUGUGCACGUAUUGACGGUACCUAAUCAGAAAGCCACGGCUAACUACGUG
rnacentral:rRNA from 1 species